AUUGAACGCUGGCGGCAUGCUUUACACAUGCAAGUCGAACGGUAACAGGUUAAGCUGACGAGUGGCGAACGGGUGAGUAAUGCAUCGGAACGUGCCCGAUCGUGGGGGAUGACGCAGCGAAAGCUGCGCUAAUACCGCAUACGAUCUGAGGAUGAAAGCGGGGGACCGUAAGGCCUCGCGCGAUCGGAGCGGCCGAUGUCAGAUUAGGUAGUUGGUGGGGUAAGGGCCUACCAAGGCGACGAUCUGUAGCUGGUCUGAGAGGACGACCAGCCACACUGGGACUGAGACACGGCCCAGACUCCUACGGGAGGCAGCAGUGGGGAAUUUUGGACAAUGGGCGCAAGCCUGAUCCAGCCAUGCCGCGUGCGGGAAGAAGGCCUUCGGGUUGUAAACCGCUUUUGUCAGGGAAGAAAUCUUCUGGGCUAAUACCCUGGGAGGAUGACGGUACCUGAAGAAUAAGCACCGGCUAACUACGUGCCAGCCGCCGCUGUAAGAC
rnacentral:rRNA from 1 species